CAAGGUUUCCGUAGGUGAACCUGCGGAAGGAUCAUUAACAUUUAUUGUACACACUAUUUUUUUAGCAACACACACAACAAGCAGUAAAGUCAACACACCAAAGUCAAAACUUUCAACAACGGAUCUCUUGGUUCUCGCAUCGAUGAAGAACGCAGCGAAAUGCGAUACGUAGUAUGACUUGCAGUUUUCGUGAAUCAUCGAAUCUUUGAACGCACAUUGCGCCUCGUGGCAUUCCACGAGGCAUGCCUGUCUGAGCGUCGUUUUCCCCUCACGCAAGUGGUGUUGGGCAGCACGGCGUGCGCUCGAAAGACAUGGAGCCGACGUUCUACGAUUCGUCGGCGGCCCAUUGACUUCGACCUCAGAUUGGUAGGGCUACCCGCUGAACUUAAGCAUAUCAA
rnacentral:rRNA from 1 species